GGCGGCAUGCCUAACACAUGCAAGUUGAGCGAUAACCGAGGGGCUUGCUCCUCGGGGACAGCAGCGCACGGGUGAGUAACGCGUGGAUAACGUACCCUGGGGUUGAGGAUAACCCACCGAAAGGUGGACUAAUACUGAAUGUGUUCCUGGAAGGUGAGCCUACCAGGAAGAAAGCGGGGCAACCCGCGCCCGAGGAUCGGUCCGCGUUCCAUCAGCUUGUUGGUGGGGUAACGGCCUACCAAGGCUACGACGGAUAGCUGGUCUGAGAGGAUGAUCAGCCACACUGGGACUGAGACACGGCCCAGACUCCUACGGGAGGCAGCAGUGGGGAAUAUUGGUCAAUGGGCGAAAGCCUGAACCAGCAAUGCCGCGUGAGUGAUGAAGGCCUUCGGGUUGUAAAGCUCUGUCAGUGGGAACGAAUAAGUCGAUUAAUACCCGAUGAUGACGGUACCCACAAAGGAAGCACCGGCUAACUCUGUGCCAGCAGCCGCGGUAAUACAGA
rnacentral:rRNA from 1 species